rnacentral:lncRNA from 1 species
AAGAUAUCGUGGGACCGAACGUGGAGCCAUGACUACCCGAAAGUCAAGCUGACCUAUCUCAUGGCCUGCAUCUGCCCAGCACACUGCACAGGGACAGCUCGGCACCAAAUGCCCAGUCCACCACCUGCCAGGAGCCUCUUUUGGAGAAGCAUGGAAAGUUUAUGAAUGAAGAAAGAUGGAGCUGGGAUGAGCUGGAUGUGCUUUCCUGGGACCAUCUCCAUCGCCUUGAAUGAUGAAAAGCCACUGCAUUCACAAUGUCAGGAGCACUUGGAGCCUGGCCAUUGCCAGGUGCAGACAGGGGUGGUCAGGAGGAACAGACCCCAGGACAUGACUGUGUCUGGCACAGUGCAAGAUGCAAUGUGCACCACUGUCUACUAGUCAUGACCCUGGGCAAAUCACCUGCUCUCUGCGUCUCUGUUUUUUCCUUCAUGCAAGGGGCAUUAGAACACCUACCUCUCAGCAGUACUGUAAUAAUUGAGGGAGGGUGGCAAAGGUGUUUAGCAGAUGCUUGAUAAAC